AUUGAACGCUGGCGGCAUGCCUAACACAUGCAAGUCGAACGGCAGCGCGGGGGCAACCCUGGCGGCGAGUGGCGGACGGGUGAGGAAUGCAUAGGAAUCUGCCCGGUUGUGGGGGAUAACGUAGGGAAACUUACGCUAAUACCGCAUACGACCUUCGGGUGAAAGUGGGGGACCUUCGGGCCUCACGCGAUCGGAUGAGCCUAUGCCCGAUUAGCUAGUUGGCGGGGUAAGAGCCCACCAAGGCGACGAUCGGUAGCUGGUCUGAGAGGAUGAUCAGCCACACUAGGACUGAGACACGGCCCAGACUCCUACGGGAGGCAGCAGUGGGGAAUAUUGGACAAAGGGCGCAAGCCUGAUCCAGCAAUGCCGCGUGUGUGAAGAAGGCCUUCGGGUUGUAAAGCACUUUUGUUCGGGAAGAAAUCCGUGUGGUUAAUACCCGUACGGGAUGACGGUACCGAAAGAAUAAGCACCGGCUAACUUCGUG
rnacentral:rRNA from 1 species